AUUGAACGCUGGCGGCAGGCCUAACACAUGCAAGUCGAGCGGGAACUUCGGUUCUAGCGGCGGACGGGUGAGUAGUGCGUAGGAAGCUACCCGAUAGAGGGGGAUACCAGUUGGAAACGACUGUUAAUACCGCAUAAUGUCUACGGACCAAAGUGUGGGACCUUCGGGCCACAUGCUGUCGGAUGCGCCUACGUGGGAUUAGCUAGUUGGUGAGGUAAUGGCUCACCAAGGCGACGAUCCCUAGCUGGUUUGAGAGGAUGAUCAGCCACACUGGAACUGAGACACGGUCCAGACUCCUACGGGAGGCAGCAGUGGGGAAUAUUGGACAAUGGGCGAAAGCCUGAUCCAGCCAUGCCGCGUGUGUGAAGAAGGCCUUCGGGUUGUAAAGCACUUUCAGUAGGGAGGAAGAGUUGAGUGUUAAUAGUACUCAGCUUUGACGUUACCUACAGAAGAAGCACCGGCUAACUCUGUGCCAGCCGCCGCAGUAACAC
rnacentral:rRNA from 1 species